GUGAGGAAUAUUGCGCAAUGGAGGCAACUCUGACGCAGCCAUGCCGCGUGCAGGAAGAAGGCGCUACGCGUUGUAAACUGCUUUUAACCGGGAAGAAACCCCAGGACGUGUCCUGGGUUGACGGUACCGGAGGAAUAAGCACCGGCUAACUUCGUGCCAGCAGCCGCGGUAAUACGAAGGGUGCAAGCGUUAUCCGGAUUCAUUGGGUUUAAAGGGUGCGUAGGCGGAGCGUUAAGUCAGUGGUGAAAUCCUGCAGCUUAACUGUAGACUUGCCAUUGAUACUGGCGCUCUUGAGUGCGCUUGAAGUGGGCGGAAUGUGCCGUGUAGCGGUGAAAUGCUUAGAUAUGGCACAGAACACCAAUUGCGAAGGCAGCUCACUAAGGCGAUACUGACGCUGAUGCACGAAAGCGUGGGGAUCGAACAGGAUUAGAAACCCGUGUAGUCC
rnacentral:rRNA from 1 species